GGCCCUUUAGCUCAGUGGCUAGAGCAUGUGAUUCCAGGAAUGGCACAUCCACAAGGUCGUCCGUUCAAAUCGGGCAAGGGUCA